UCUGUGCCGACCCGACGGUCUCUCCUCUCCCGAGCUCGAUCCUCAUCUCGCCGCCGCCGUCCUCCUCGCUCCAUCCCCAGCACUAGCACCGCCAUGGAAUAGCGCAACUUGGCGCUGGCGGUGGCCUCCGUGAGCCUUCCUCUAUUGCCGCCUCCUCUCACCGGUCUGUGUGGCCUCAAUGAAACCCUAGCAUCACGACGCAACUCUAGCGGCACAAUCGUCUGGCCUCUUCCUCGUCGGCGGCAACGGCGACGGUGAUGCUCAACGGCUGGAUCUACCGAAGCCUGCGUCGGCUGCGGUUUCUCCAUCUGCUUGCUUCCUGCUCAGUUCGAGGAUAUUUUAUUUUGCUGCAGGGCUGCCCAAAAUGUUGGGUCGACAGGUGCGAUAUAAUCAAAGGCAUUUAUGUCACGUAUAACAGGCAAGUGACCUUUUCCAUUUUAUACUUUGCGUUUAUAUGAAUUGAGCAAUCUGUUGGUACGAAUGCACUUCCAUUCUCACUUUCGUAGCUAAAAUAGUGCAGCAUACCUUAUGAUUUCAAGCACUUCCAUCUCACUUCCGUAUUCUGAUAGAGAUCACACACAAUACCAAUUAAAAGAGCUCCAUGAAUUACCAUUUUAUAUGUUUUCUUGUUGAACUUUAUUUUAUUCCUUUCUAUGCAUAAAAAACAUAAAACACUUCUGAUAAGGUCGUUUGUAAUUAAUUUUGCCACUUACCUCAAUAUGUUUAGUUUAUAAUGUUGUGUAGAGACCUUUAUUUGAA